rnacentral:misc_RNA from 1 species
GAACCGAUCACUGCCACCAUCGCCACCAACACCAACCGCCUCCAUCGCCACCCAUCAAAACUCAAAUAACACACACUCUCAGGGAACCCAGAAGAAAACCCGUCUUCAAUGGCCACCAGUAAGAGCUACUUUGCACGACAAAACUACCGAUUUCUGUCUGGCGACGAGGCGAGGCCCUGCACGCGCCACUCACGCCCGACUCCGCAUUUGAACUCGACGAGUCUGACAUUUAUAACAAUUCAGUCACAACUCGUUCCAACUCGACCGAGUUUCUCAAAUCUCUACCGAGUUCCAGACUCACCAAGAAGUCCACAGCAACAGCAGCGGCGUUGACCAACAGCAGCGUCCCUGGAGACAGAGUCGUAGGGACUCCAUCGUCACUUCCGGUUAACAUACCGGACUGGUCGAAGAUAUUGAAAGAUGAGUACAGGGAGAGUCGUCGUGGGAGAGAUAUGGACAACGACGACGACGACGACGACGACGAUGAUGACGCCGACGGAGAGGAUUAUUUCCACGGAGGAGCGAGGGUUCCGCCGCACGAGUUUUUGGCGAGGACGAGGAUCGCAUCGUUCUCGGUGCAUGAAGGGGUAGGGAGGACUUUGAAAGGGAGGGAUCUGAGCAGGGUUAGAAAUGCAAUUUGGGAGAAAACUGGGUUUCAAGAUUAAAAAAAAAAAUCCACAAAUGAAGGGUUUUUUGUUUCCUUCCUUAUUUUAGAAAUAUCGGAAAAAUAACAGAAUUUAUAGAGAGAAAUUCAUCAGCACAGAUUUUCUAGAGAAAGUGACAGAUGGGUUUUUUAACUUUUUUUUUUAUUUUAAGAUUAAAGAACUUUUAUGCGUG